GGUGCACACCAUCCAUUCAGGUUUGGGAGCUCAAGGAACCGAUUGGGGGCCCCUCGAGAUGCAGGCAUUUCAGGGAAGAGCCAAGUCCUGUUUGCUGUGGUGUUCACUGCCCGAUAUCUGGACCUGUUCACCAACUACAUUUCACUCUACAAUACCUGCAUGAAGGUGGUCUACAUAGCUUGUUCCUUUACCACGGUGUGGAUGAUCUACAGCAAGUUCAAAGCUACGUAUGAUGGGAACCACGACACUUUCCGGGUGGAGUUCCUCGUUGUUCCUACUGCUGUUUU
rnacentral:lncRNA from 1 species